GCCGCGCCACUCCACCACAAUGGCCCGGCAGACUGACAAGAAAGGAUGUAAGACCGCCGGGACGUGCGGUGCGGCAGUGUGGAGACCUGCCGUAAUGGGACCGAGGACGCUCCCCGGCCCUGAGGCGAGCGCCGCGGAGGCGGGCCCGCUAACGUCUGGAGCAUGGCA
rnacentral:ncRNA from 1 species